rnacentral:rRNA from 1 species
UACGUAGGGUGCGAGCGUUGCCCGGAUUUAUUGGGCGUAAAGGGCGCGCAGGCGGCUCGGCACGUCCGUUGUGAAAUCGCCCGGCUCAACUGGGCGGGGUCAGCGGAUACGGUCGAGCUUGAGCAAGCUAGGGGGUAAUGGAAUUCCCGGUGUAGUGGUGGAAUGCGUAGAUAUCGGGAGGAACACCAGUGGCGAAGGCGACUACCUGGCCUGUUCUUGACGCUGAGGCGCGAAAGCUAGGGGAGCAAACGGG